rnacentral:rRNA from 1 species
UACGAAGGGGCUAGCGUUGCUCGGAAUGACUGGGCGUAAAGGGCGCGUAGGCGGUGCAUUUGGUCAGGCGUGAAAUUCCUGGGCUUUAACCUGGGGACUGCGCUUGAGACGGGUGCUGGAGGGCAGGAGAGGCUCGCGGAAUUCCCAGUGUAGAGGUGAAAAUUCGUAGAUAUUGGGAAGAACACCGGUGGCGAAGGCGGCG